rnacentral:rRNA from 1 species
UUGGUGACCUGCCCCAAAGUGUGGGAUAACAGUCCGAAAGGAUUGCUAAUACCGCAUGUGGUUGUCGGAANUAGAAACCGAUUUCUAAAGCAGCAUUGCGCUUUGGGAGGGACCUGCGUCCCAUCAGCUAGUUGGUGAGGUAACGGCUCACCAAGGCGACGACGGGUAGGGGACCUGAGAGGGUGGCCCCCCACAAUGGAACUGAAACACGGUCCAUACACCUACGGGUGGCAGCAGUAGGGAAUAUUGCUCAAUGGGCGAAAGCCUGAAGCAGCAACGCCGCGUGUGCGAUGAAGGCCUUCGGGUCGUAAAGCACUUUUCUGAGAGAUGAGAAAGGACAGUAUCUCAGGAAUAAGUCUCGGCUAACUACGUGCCAGCAGCCGCGGUAAAACGUAGGAGGCGAGCGUUAUCCGGAUUCACUGGGCGUAAAGCGCAUGCAGGCGGUUCGGUAAGUUGGGCGUGAAAUCUCCUGGCUUAACUGGGAGAGGUCGUUCAAUACUACCGGGCUAGAGAGUGGUAGAGGAAGAUGGAAUUCCCGGUGUAGUGGUGAAAUGCGUAGAUAUCGGGAGGAACACCAGUGGCGAAAGCGAUCUUCUGGACCAUUUCUGACGCUCAUAUGCGAAAGCUAGGGUAGUAAACGGGGAUUAGAGACCCCGGUAAUCCUAGCCGUAAACGAUGUUAACUUG